CAGCCCCACAGCAUAUGGAGUUCCCUGGCCAAGGGUCAGAUCCGAACCACAGUUUCGACCUUUGCCACAGCUACAGCAACACCGGAUCUUUUAACUCACUGUGACGGGCCAGGAAUUGAACCUGUGUCCCAGAGAUGCAGAGACACCUGCCAAGCUGUUGCGCCAUAGCAGGCAUUCCCAGAAAAGUCCUUACAAUGGCAUUUUUGUGCUCUUAGCGUCCCAGGUAUGAAAUGUCAUUGCAAUGUUGUGCUUCACUGAUUACGGCGUAAUAUAUGACACCAAUAAGGACAGACCCUGCAUCCAGCUGGGGCAGGCUCUGCUCAACACCCAGAGAGCCCGGCCAGCAGACGUGUGGCUAAGUCCACUGUCCACACCAUCCACACCCCUGUUCCCAGGACAGCGUGGCAGCCAGCGCCCCACUGGACAACCUGAUAUUAGCCAGAAGUCAUGGAAACAGAGCUCCGAUUGUGGGCACAACCGUCCAACCGCCACGUGCAAAUCCUCUCCAUCUAGAUCCUCGUACCUCCUCAUCUCCUGCAGAUGGGUCACCAUGCUUCACCAACUUGGAAGACGGACUCAGAAAGUGGCACCCUGAGCCAACGGGACAAACUGCGGGCAGCUUGGAAGACACUGGCCGUUGCAAGAGCUGUUUGGAACAACUGACCUUUUCAGACAAAUCCCAGCACCGUUUCUCCCUUGGCACCGCCUCUGAGACGGCAGAGUGAGGAGGUGGCAUGUCACUGACCCACUCAGCAACUCCUCCUGUGCCCUCAUGAAACAUUUAUUGUUUCCUGACAAUAGUAGUGGCCGAGGACUGGCCAGUCCCCUACGUCAUGUUUCCUCAAUGGAGACCUUUGUCUCCUGCCAGCGGCUCCACGGCUCUUGUCUUCCCGAUGCGUCACCCUCCCCUGAAGCCCUGCUCCGUGGACAGGGUAACACGAUCCUGGCAGAGCUCAAGGGAGGCCUUCACUCCCCCCACACACGUGCAGAAGUGCCCCUGGCAGGACAGGGAGCCGAGCUCUCCAUCCCGGAGCUGGGCCUGGAACUCAGCCAGCUUGAGUCCAGGAGGAUUUCAUCACACCCUCUGCUCCCACUGCUCCUGAUUACCUUCCAGUCUCACAACGUCCCAUCCCCGCUGUUCAUACGGUUGACAGCCUUCAAGACGGACCCCACCUCCUGGCAAUCCGCCCUCAUGGGGUCCCCUCGCACCUUUCAUAGGGCUGACCUGUGUCAUCAGUUGUAGAAACAGCGGGAUGUGACUAGGUCACAACAGACAUUGUGGUUUCCACCUCGCUCUCUCUAGGGAGAGCCAGCUGCCGUGUUGUGAGGCCACGCCAGCAGCCCCGUGGAGAGUCCAUGGGGUGAAGGACUGAGGCCUCAUACCGACAGCCAGCAUGAAUUCUUCAUCCACGUGGGUGAGCCAUCCUGGGAGCCAAGCUUCCAGCCCCAGUCAAGCCUUUGGAUGCGUGCAGACCCCACUGCAUCUCGACAGCAAAUUCACAGGAGACCUGGAGACAAGACUGCCUGCUUAGCAACUCUUGGAGUCUAGACUCACAGAAACUGCAAGACAGUAAAAUGAUUAGUGCUGCUUUAGGCCACUGUAUUUUGUGACACAUAACACAGCAUUAGGCAGCCUCCUAUUUGGGGUGAUAAAGUCCGAAGGGUCAGCCUCCAGGGGCACAGAGCAGAGUGAAGAAGGGCAGAGAAUAGACUUGGCACUUAUCCAGCACACUUGAUUCCUUGAUCCCUUACUGUCCUGUCUCUCGUUGUAAAAAAGGAGGAGAUGUUAAAAAUGUAAGCGUUGGAGUUCCCACCAUGGCACAGAGGAAAUGAAUCCAACUAGUAUCCCUGAGGAUGUGGGUUCCAUCCCUGGCCUCGCUCAGUGGCUCAGGGAACCGGCGUUGCUGUGAGCUGCAGGGGUAGGUCACAGACGCGGCUUGGAUCUGGUGUUGCUGUGGCUGUGGUGUAGGCCGGCAGCUGCAGCUCUGAUUUGACCCCUAGUCGGGGAACUUCCAUAUGCCAUGUGCGUGGCCCUUAAAAAAAAGGGCAAAAAAAAAAUAAUCAUUUAUGUCAUGCUCUGCUCUGUCAUUUUCCAAAAGUUAAGGUCAAGAUUACUGUCUCUAGGAGUUCCCGUCAUGGCUCAGCAGUAACAAACCUGACUAGUAUCCAUGAGGACGCAGGUUCUAUCCCUGGCCUUACUCAGUGGGUCGGGGAUCCAGCAUUGCCAUGAGCUGCCGUGUAGGUCACAGAUACGGCUCAGAUUUGACCCUAUGGGCGCGGCCCUAAAAAGGUUACUGUCUCUACUCUGUCAAUCCUCUUGAGAACCCUACUUCCCCAGGCCACAUCAGUCUGGACGUCAAAAUGAGGUCAUAAUUAACAAAAGCAUCAUUUCUCAAGUUUGCCAUUACCGCUGGUUCUCCAGCCCCCCUAGAAACAUCAGGAAUCCCUAGAAUGUAUCCCGUAAAGGGGAAGCGUCCUAGAGGUUGAGAUCCUGAUCUGUCAAUUUGGACUGCCCAGGUUUGAACCCUGGCCCCAUCUCUGUGGCCAACUGUGCUUUCCAAAGAUGCCCACGAAACCCCUCCCAUCCCAAUGCUCUUCUGCGGUGCAUUCUGGGGUGCUCUUCUCCACCCACUUCAAUCUGGACCAUCCUAUGCUGCUUUCUCCCAGAGAAUAUGGUGGAAGCGAUGCUGUGCCAUUUACAGGCAAAGCCCUAAACUGGGCUGACACCUUCCUAUUCCUGCCUCUUGGGAUGGUUGUUCUUGGGAUGCUCCUCUCUGAAGCCAGCCACCAUGCAGGGAGGAAGCCCACCACACAGAGACCCCUUGUGGAUGCUCUGGCCCACAGCCCCAGCUGAGCUUCCAGACACUGACUGCCAGUGUGUGGAGCCAUCAUGGACGUCCAGUCCAGUCAAGGCUUCAGAUGCCUCCAACCCCACCAACCUCUGACUGCAAGCACAGUGGACCCCAAGGGAAUACACCCAGCGAGCCUGCUCAGUGCACAGAACCAUGAGUGAUAAUAAACCCUUCUCUUCAGCCAUUAAGUCUUGAGGUGGCUUAUUGCACACAAUAAAUAUCGAGAUGAGCCACGUAGGAACUGGGUAAUCUGAAGCACAUGACAGGCCUUAGUUGAGGGUCCAGCCAGACGUAGACCCUGCAACAAAGACCUGGUGCGUGUAGUUGAUCUGGAGUCCAGGGAAUCCAGGUAGGAGAGUGGGGAGAGGAGAAAGGGAAGAGAAGGCAGCCGAUAGGACGAGAGUGUUUAUCAGCAGGAGUUCCCUUAGAGAAAUGCAAAUCAAAACUACUAUGAGGUACCACCUCACACCAGUCAAAAUGGCCAUCAUUAAUAAGUCCACAAAUAACAAAUGUGGAGAGGGUGUGGAGAAAAGGGAACCCUCCCACACUGUUGGUGGGAAUGUAAAUUGGUACAACCACUAUGGAAAACAGUAUGGAGGUGCCUCAGAAGACUAAAUAUAGAACUACCAUAUGACCCAGCAAUCCCACUCCUGGGCAUAUAUUCAGACAAAACUUUCCUUGAAGUAGACACAUGCAUCUGUAUGUUCUUUGCAACACUAUUCACAAUAGCCAAGACAUGGAAACAACCUAAAUGUCCAUCAAUAGAUGAACAGAUUAAGAAGAUGUGGUAUAUAUGUACAAUGGAAUACUACUCAACCAUAAAAAAGAACAAAAUAAUGCCAUUUGCAGCAACAUGGAUGGAACUAGAGAUUCUCGUACUAAGUGAAAUAAAUCAGAAAGAGAAAGACAAAUACCAUAUGAUAUCAUUUAUAUCUGGAUCUAAUACAUGGCAUAAAUGAACUUUCCACAGAAAAGAAAUUCAUGGACUUGGAGAACAGACCUGUGCUUCCAAGGGGGAGGAGGAGGGAGUGAGAUGGACUGGGAAUCUGGGAUUAAUAGAUUCAAACUAUUGCAUUUGGAAUAGAUAAGCAAUGAGAUCCUGCGUAUAGCACUGGGAACUAUAUUUAGUCACUUAUGAUGGAGCAUGAAAAUGUGAGAAAAAGAAUGUAUAUGUGUAUGUGUGACUGGGUCACCUUGCUAUACAGUAGAAAAUUGACAGAACACUGUAAACCAGCUAUAAUAGAAAAAAUUAAAAUCAUUUAAAACAAAAUAUUUUUAAAAAGGAGUUCCCAUUGUGGCUCAGCAGCUUAAGAACCCAACAUAGUGUCCAUGAGGAUGCAGGCUUGAUCCCUGGCCUCAUUCAGUGGGUUAAGGAUCCAAUAUUGCCAUGAGCUGCAGCAUAGGUUGCAGACACAGGACUUCCCGUGUGGCUCACUACAUAGGUUGCAGAUGUGGCUCAGAACCGGCAUUGCUGUAGCAUAGGCUAGCAGCUGUAGCUCCGAUUCAAACCCUAGCCUGGGAACUUCCAUAUGCUGCAGGUAUGGCCCUAAAAAAAAAGAGGUAUUUGCCUAACCACAGUCAUAGCAGCACCAUUCACAACAGCCAAGAGGCAGAAGCAACCCAAGUAUCUGUCAGUGGAUGAAUAGAAGAUAUACCUACAGUGGAAUAUUUUUCAGUCUAAAAAAGAAGGAAAUUCUGUCGCAUGCUACAACAUAGAUGCAGCUUGAGGAUAUUAUGCUAAAUGAAAUAAUCCAGUCACAGAAGAGAAAGGCUGCACGAUUCCUCAUAUAUGCAGGACUUAAGUGGUCAAAUCCACAGAAACAGAAAGCAGAGUGGUGAGGCUGGGGGAGGGGAACAGGGAGCCGUUCAGUGGGUAUAGAGUUUCAGUUUUGCAAGAUGAAAAGUUCAGGAAAUCGGGAGUUCCCGUCGUGGCGCAGUGGUUAACGAAUCGAUAGGAACCAUGAGGUUGCGGGUUCGGUCCUGGUCUUGCUCAGUGGUUAACGAUCCGGCGUGCCGUGAGCUGUGGUGUAGAUUGCAGACGGCUCGGAUCCGCGUUGCUGUGGCUCUGGCGUAGGCCGGUGGCUACAGCUCCGAUUCAACCCCUAGCCUGGGAACCUCCAUAUGCCAUGGGAGCGGCCCAAAAAAUAGCAACAACAACAACAACAACAAAAAAAAA
rnacentral:lncRNA from 1 species